rnacentral:rRNA from 1 species
UACGUAGGGUGCGAGCGUUAAUCGGAAUUACUGGGCGUAAAGCGUGCGCAGGCGGUUUUGUAAGCCAGAUGUGAAAGCCCCGGGCUCAACCUGGGAAUGGCAUUUGGGACUGCAAGGCUUGAGUGCGGCAGAGGAGACUGGAAUUCCCGGUGUAGCAGUGAAAUGCGUAGAGAUCGGGAGGAACAUCAGUUGCGAAGGCGGCUCUCUGGACCAGCACUGACACUGAGGCACGAAAGCGUGGGGAGCAAACAGG